rnacentral:rRNA from 1 species
AAGGCCGGAAGGCCCAUGAACACGCCGAGAACCUGAUUGACGUGGCCUUCGGAUCGUAAGCUCUCCGGAGGUUGCCGGGGAAGACGUGCGGGGAAAUGCCUUGCACGGAUCCUGGCCAGAACGCCACGCGCUAACUACGUGCCAGCAGGCCUGCCGCGGUAAGGGAGGCAGCAGCCGCGGU